rnacentral:piRNA from 1 species
UUCUAACCUGGAUCAGAGGAGUGAAAUGCC